UACAGAGGUCUCAAGCGUUGUUCGGAUUCAUUGGGCGUAAAGGGUGCGUAGGUGGCGGGGCAAGUUUUGGUGUGAAAUCCCGGGGCUCAACCUCGGAACUGCACUGAAUACUGCCUUGCUUGAGCACUGGAGAGGGAACUGGAAUUUACGGUGUAGCAGUGAAAUGCGUAGAUAUCGUAAGGAAGACCAGUGGCGAAGGCGAGUUCCUGGGACAGUUGCUGACACUGAGGCACGAAGGCUAGGGGAGCAAACGGG
rnacentral:rRNA from 1 species